UGGGGAAUAUUGCACAAUGGGGGAAACCCUGAUGCAGCAACGCCGCGUGAGCGAUGAAGGCCUUCGGGUCGUAAAGCUCUGUCCUAUGGGAAGAACAAAUGACGGUACCAUAGGAGGAAGCCCCGGCUAACUACGUGCCAGCAGCCGCGGUAAUACGUAGGGGGCAAGCGUUAUCCGGAAUCACUGGGCGUAAAGGGUGCGUAGGCGGUCGACAAAGUCUGGGGUGAAAGGCUACGGCUCAACCGUAGUAAGCCUUGGAAACUUGUUGACUUGAGUGCAGGAGAGGUAAGUGGAAUUCCUAGUGUAGCGGUGAAAUGCGUAGAUAUUAGGAGGAACACCAGUGGCGAAGGCGACUUACUGGACUGUAACUGACGCUGAGGCACGAAAGCGUGGGGAGCAAACAGGAUUAGAAACCCCAGUAG
rnacentral:rRNA from 1 species